rnacentral:rRNA from 1 species
AUUGAACGCUGGCGGCAUGCCUUACACAUGCAAGUCGAACGUGAAAGGGGGGCAACCCCCGAGUAGAGUGGCGGACGGGUGAGUAACACAUUCGGAACGUACCCAGUAGUGGGGGACAACCUCGAGAAAUCGAGGCUAAUACCGCAUACCGACCCACGGGUGAAAGCGGGGGACCGCAAGGCCUCGCGCUAUUGGAGCGGCCGAUGUCCGAUUAGCUUGUUGGCGGGGUAANAGCCCACCAAGGCGACGAUCGGUAGCUGGUCUGAGAGGAUGAUCAGCCACACUGGGACUGAGACACGGCCCAGACUCCUACGGGAGGCAGCAGU